GGUGAUUCAAAGAUUUGUGGUUCAGUGUGAGAGUUCACAAAUACACAUAUGAACCCUGUGAUUUGGGCCACACCGCUUUCAUUCAGGCCACAGAAAGGCACCGUGGAGAGGAGGCAGAUAUGUAAGGGCAUGCAGGGAAUUUCAGCUGUUCUACAUUCUCGCCAAUAUUCUGUAUGGUCCUAUAUACGAGAGCUUAAAGAACUCAUUACCGCCAGUUCUCCACUAGAAGAGAUGUUAAAGGAAGUCCUUCUUUCAAGUAGAAAAAAAUGUCAUCGGAUAGAAAUAUAAAUUUACACAGAAGAAUAAAAAGCACCAGAAAUGCUAUCAACAUGGGAGGCCUGCAGCUGUGUUCCAGAUCACGAGGAAGUGUAAGCAGGAUGAUACUUUCUUCCCCAAAAGCUGUCCAUGCUUCAUUCCCGGAAACCUGUGAAUGUUACAUCCCAUUGCACAAGGGACUUUUGCAGAUGUGAUUAAGGGUAUGGACUUUAUAAUGAAUGGCCUAGAUCCACCCAGGCUCCAGUGGAACACAGCUUCAUAUUCAGAAAUGUAAAUCAGAAGCUUAGUCAUAUUUAUUAAACAAACCAUUAUGGAUCAAACUUUAUUUGGAUAAACCACAAGAUUCACAGAUAGAAAGAAACCCUGGGGAAUGCAACAUUUUCAUAAUUUAAAAAAUUUAAUACGCAAGAAAGAGACUUUGACUUCUCCAUUUCUAAAAGUUAGUCUCUAGAAAUGAUUGAAGAUAAACAUAAAAAUUUGACUUCAAGGAUAUUCUCUGUUGCAGUGAAUGGAUACA